rnacentral:snRNA from 1 species
AGAUGUGAGGGUGUUCUGGCUGUAACAUCUGUCACCCCCAUUGACAGCCAGGGUUGAUUUGGCUGAUGUGGCUGGCUAGGCAGGUGUCCCCAGUAUCUCCUUCCUCCCUCACUGCUCCAUGUGCAUCUCUCCAGAAACUUAGCCCUCAGUGGAAGAGGAUGGUCUUUCCUGAAUAGAGACGGGUAGCUGUGGUCCCCUGCUAGAACCUCCAAACAAGCUCUCAAGGAAAAAAAAAUGUUAAGGAAUAUAGUCUGUACUGUUUAUAUAUUCCCUGUUCCUUACACG